rnacentral:rRNA from 1 species
UACGGAGGGGGCUAGCGUUGUUCGGAAUUACUGGGCGUAAAGCGCACGUAGGCGGCUUUGUAAGUUAGAGGUGAAAGCCCGGGGCUCAACCCCGGAAUAGCCUUUAAGACUGCAUCGCUUGAACACGGGAGAGGUGAGUGGAAUUCCGAGUGUAGAGGUGAAAUUCGUAGAUAUUCGGAAGAACACCAGUGGCGAAGGCGGCUCACUGGACGACUGUUGACGCUGAGGUACGAAAGCGUGGGGAGCGAACAGG